AUAUGCCUGAAAGUGGCGGACGGGUGAGUAACACGUGGGUGACCUGCCUCGGAGUGGGGGAUAACCAUGGGAAACUGUGGCUAAUACCGCAUGGGCUUGUUGGCUUUGGCGGCCAACGAGUAAAGCUUUAGUGCUUCGAGAGGGGCCUGCGUCCGAUUAGGUAGUUGGUGAGGUAAUGGCUCACCAAGCCGAUGAUCGGUAGCUGGUCUGAGAGGACGAUCAGCCACACGGGAACUGAGAAACGGUCCCGACUCCUACGGGGGGCAGCAGUGAGGAAUAUUGGGCAAUGGACGCAAGUCUGACCCAGCAACGCCGCGUGGAGGAUGAAGGUUCUUGGAUCGUAAACUCCUUUUGCAGGGGAAAAGCAAGGAUGGUACCCUGAGAAUAAGUCACGGCUAACUACGCGCCAGCAGCCGCGGUAAUACGUAGGUGACAAGCGUUAUCCGGAUUUAUUGGGCGUAAAGCGCACGCAGGCGGUCUAUCAAGUCUGACGUGAAAUCUCUCGGCUUAACCGGGAGCGGUCGUUGGAAACUGAUGGACUUGAGGCGAUGAGAGGGGUGUGGAAUUCCCGGUGUAGUGGUGGAAUGCGUAGAUAUCGGGAGGAACAUCAGUGGCGAAAGCGGCACCCUGGCAUUAGCCUGACGCUCAUGUGCGAAAGCGUGGGGAGCGAACGGGAUUAGAUACCCCGGUAGUCCACGCUGUAAACGAUGAAUACUAGGUGUGGGUAGUCUCAAAAUUAUCCGUGCCGAAGCAAACGCGAUAAGUAUUCCGCCUGGGGAGUACGGCCGCAGGGCUAAAACUCAAAGAA
rnacentral:rRNA from 1 species